rnacentral:rRNA from 1 species
CACGUAGGGGGCAAGCGUUGUCCGGAUUUAUUGGGCGUAAAAGGCUUGUAGGUGGCCACGCCAAGUCGGAUGUGAAAUCUCCCGGCUCAACUGGGAGGGGUCAUUCGAUACUGGCGGGCUCGAGGCCGGUAGGGGGAAGUGGAAUUCCCGGUGUAGUGGUGGAAUGCGUAGAUAUCGGGAGGAACACCAGUGGCGAAGGCGGCUUCCUGGACCGGUUCUGACACUGAGGAGCGAAAGCGUGGGGAGCGAUCCGG